GACGAACGCUGGCGGCGUGCUUAACACAUGCAAGUCGAACGGAGAGGCCUGCUUUCCCUUGUGGAUUGCGGUUACUCGCGUGGCGAACGGGUGAGUAAAACGUGAGUGAUCUGUCCCCAAAUUGGGUAUAAGCUUGGGCUACUAGGUCUAAUUCCCGAUAGCACUGUAGGGUGGUGUCGGUGGUUGCAAACGAUUUUCUAGUGGUUGGGGAUGAGCUGGGGGGCUGUCAGCUUGUUGGUGGGGUAGUGGUCGACCGAGGGCGCGACGGGUAGCCGGCCUGGGAGAGGGGGCGGCGACAGUGGGCCUGAGAUACGGCCCAGGCGCCUACGGGAAGCAGCAGCGGGGAGUAAGGCGCGGGGGGCGGAAGCCUGAGGCAGCGACGCCGCGUGGGGGAUGACGGCCGUCGGGUUGUGAACUCCUUUCGGCCGCGAGGAAGCCACCUGGUUGGAGGGGUAGUGACGGUAGUGGUAGAAGAAGCACCGGCUAACUACGUG
rnacentral:rRNA from 1 species